CAGGGAGACAACAAAAUGUUUAAUAUUAUUAUUUUGUCACCUUAGGUCGAUCGGUAUCUCACGUUUUUAAUUUAUUAAAAAUUUCAUUUCCUAAGUUUUUCUAGGUCACACCCAUUAUUUUUCCUGGGCCAUUAGCUCAGGUGGUUAGAGCGCACCCCUGAUAAGGGUGAGGUCCCUGGUUCAAGUCCAGGAUGGCCCAUAUCUCUAUGUUGGGGGUAUAGCUCAGUUGGUAGAGCGCCUGCUUUGCAAGCAGGAUGUCAGCGGUUCGAGUCCGCUUACCUCCACUGAUUACCACCUCUUCCAUAACAGGUAGAAAGGAAAUGUUUUGAGUAGUGAUCAAAUUCUGAAAGAAUCUAGCUUCCUAAUGAAAUCAUUAAGAUGCUGGACUCAUUGAAUUAAUUUCAUUGUUUUCAGAGAACCUUGACAACUGCAUAGAUUAUUUUUAAAGACAAUAAGCAUCUUUAAUGAUGCAGAUUUAUUAUUUGUGCGAAUGCAUUAAUAACAAUUCUAUUAAGCUGAUGCUUCAAUUUUUGAAGUUAUU
rnacentral:tRNA from 1 species